rnacentral:rRNA from 1 species
UACGAAGGGUGCAAGCGUUGCUCGGAAUUAUUGGGCGUAAAGGGUAGGUAGGUGGUCUCAUUUGUCAGGGGUGAAAGCCUUGGGCUUAACACAAGAAGUGCCCCUGAAACGGUGAGACUGGAGUCUUGGAGAGGGUCGUGGAAUUCCCGGUGUAGCGGUGAAAUGCGUAGAGAUCGGGAGGAACACCAGAGGCGAAGGCGGCGACCUGGACAAGUACUGACACUCAACUACGAAAGCGUGGGUAGCAAACAGG